rnacentral:misc_RNA from 1 species
GAAAAAUCUGUCAAAUACAAAGGGAAGAACAACAAUUUCAUAAAAUUUAUCAAAACUUAAUUGAAUGGAAAUAAAAGAUUAUUGAUUCUCUGCAUCUUUCUGCUUGACUCCAUCUAUGCUUUCUAUAGGAGGCAGAGUCAGAUCAGGUUUGAAAAAGUUGUGCACAACGGAGGCACCAGCAAGGAGAGAAACAACAACAACUACAGUCGACCAAGCCAUUGAUGGAGUUCCUGUUGGCGGCUUCCCACCACCGAAUUUUCUGUUCAUUUUUUUUUCUUUUAUCAAUCAAAAAUUCUCCGGUUAACGAAGAUGAAAAUGG